GGGAGGGUGGUCUAGCUUGGUAUGAUACCGUAGGAAUAUGUCUUCUAGCCAAGUGGCCGAGGGUUCGAAUCCCUCCUCUCCCA
rnacentral:tRNA from 1 species